rnacentral:rRNA from 1 species
UACGUAGGGGGCUAGCGUUGUCCGGAAUCAUUGGGCGUAAAGAGCGUGUAGGCGGUCCGGUAAGUCCGCUGUGAAAGUCGGGGGCUCAACCCUCGAAUGCCGGCCGAUACUGUCAGGCUAAAAUCCGGAAGAGGCGAGUGGAAUUCCUGGUGUAGCGGUGAAAUGCGCAGAUAUCAGGAGGAACACCUAUGGCGAAGGCAGCUCGCUGGGACGGUAUUGACGCUGAGACGCGAAAGCGUGGGGAGCGAACAGG